rnacentral:antisense_RNA from 2 species
CUUCAGCGAUCCCAGCCACACGGGCUCGGCGCGGUCCUGGCCGUAGGUGGCCAGCAGGGCCUGCGCCUC